rnacentral:rRNA from 1 species
UUGCACGCUGGCGGCAUGCCUUACACAUGCAAGUCGAACGGUAACGGGCCUUCGGGUGCCGCCGAGUGGCGAACGGGUGAGUAAUACAUCGGAACGUGCCCGAUCGUGGGGGAUAACGAGGCGAAAGCUUUGCUAAUACCGCAUACGAUCUACGGAUGAAAGCAGGGGACCGCAAGGCCUUGCGCGGACGGAGCGGCCGAUGGCAGAUUAGGUAGUUGGUGGGAUAAAAGCUUACCAAGCCGACGAUCUGUAGCUGGUCUGAGAGGAUGAUCAGCCACACUGGGACUGAGACACGGCCCAGACUCCUACGGGAGGCAGCAGUGGGGAAUUUUGGACAAUGGGCGCAAGCCUGAUCCAGCCAUGCCGCGUGCAGGAUGAAGGCCUUCGGGUUGUAAACUGCUUUUGUACGGAACGAAAAGCCUUCUUUUAAUACAGGAGGGUCAUGACGGUACCGUAAGAAUAAGCACCGGCUAACUACGUG